UGGUUCUGGGUGUGUCACCGG
rnacentral:miRNA from 1 species